rnacentral:sRNA from 1 species
UCGCGGCGGGAACGCGAGGCCUACGUUUUCUGCUGUCUUCAUCAGCGUGGGCCGGGGGCCAUCAUGAGGAAGCCACGAGCAGCCGUGGGAAGUGGUCACAGGAAGCAGGCAGCCAGCCAGGAAGGGAGGCAGAAGCGUGCUAAGAACAACAGUCAGGCCAAGCCUUCUGCCUGUGAUGGUCUGGCCAGGCAGCCGGAAGAGGUGGUAUUGCAGGCUUCUGUCUCCUCAUACCAUGUAUUCAGAGACUUAGCUGAAGUCACAGCCUUCCGAGGGAGCCUGCUAAGCUGGUACGACCAAGAGAAACGGGACCUACCAUGGAGAAGACGGGCAGAAGAUGAGGUGGACCUGGACAGGCGGGCAUAUGCUGGUCAGUACAUCUCCUGAGAGCAGGGCUACUUUGCCUCGAGGCCCUUGGGUCUGGGGGCUGUGGGCCAGGUAGGGCAGGUCAGCAGUGUCCUCAUGCCAACCCCUUUCCCCUAGUGUGGGUCUCAGAGGUCAUGCUGCAGCAGACCCAGGUUGCCACUGUGAUCAACUACUAUACCGGAUGGAUGAAGGUGACUCCAGGGGAGGAAGGGAAGGGUCAUGGGUCAGACCCCAGAUGAGAGCCUGUACUUUGGGGUGGGUGUAGAGAAGGCUUCCUCUACCACCUUCGCCCUUGACCUUGUCUUUUUCUGCCUGCCUGUGGCUAUAGAAGUGGCCUACACUGCAGGACCUGGCCAGUGCUUCCCUGGAGGUGAGAGCCACCCUAGGGUAGGGGAAAUAGGAAUGAUAGAGGGACUGAAGGGUGAUCUCUUUGACCUCUGAUCCUACCCACAGGAGGUGAAUCAACUCUGGGCUGGCCUGGGCUACUAUUCUCGUGGCCGGCGGCUGCAGGAGGGAGCUCGGAAGGUAAGGGGAUGGCAGGAGGGUAGGAACCCAGGAGUCUUGGGUGUCUCAUAAUCUUGAGUCUUGCACUCCAAUCAGGUGGUAGAGGAGCUAGGGGGCCACAUGCCACAUACAGCAGAGACCCUGCAGCAGUUCCUGCCUGGCGUGGGGCGCUACACAGCUGGGGCCAUUGCCUCUAUCGCCUUUG